rnacentral:ncRNA from 2 species
AUGAUGACAAGGGGAGAGACUGCUUUAAAGUGGCGCCGAAGGAGCAAACAACAUGUGAAUCUCUCAGGCAAAAAGACUCUUGUUGGACG